rnacentral:rRNA from 1 species
AGGACGAACGCUGGCGGCGUGCCUAACACAUGCAAGUGGAGCGACGACCCAGGCUUCGGCCUGGUGCAAAGCCGCGAACGGGUGAGUAACACGUGGGUAACCUGCCCCGAUGAUUGGGACAACCCGAGGAAACUCGGGCUAAUACCGAAUGUGCCCUGAAGCCGUAAGGCUGCUGGGGAAAGGAAGCUUCGGCCUCCGCAUCGGGAUGGGCCCGCGGCCCAUUAGCUUGUUGGUGAGGUAACGGCUCACCAAGGCGACGACGGGUA